rnacentral:rRNA from 1 species
ACACGUAUGAAAGACAAGCUGAAAGACUUUUCUCAAUGAUGUAAGUGGUGGUGCAUGGUCGUUCUUAGUUCGUGGAUUGAUUUGUCUGGUCUAUUCCGAUAACGAGCGAGACCCCGACGUUCCUAAUAGGGGCAGCAGCCCGACUCGCCUGCUUCGGUAGGCUUGUUAGCAGCUGCCUAAGAUUUACUUCUUAGACGUAUCAGAGCCGAUAAGGUUCUUGAAAUGGGUUAAUAACAGGUCAGUCAUGCCCUUAGAUGUUCUGGGCCGCACGCGCGUUACAAUGGUAUACAUUAGAACGUGCUCUCAAGGGCGUCUCCGCGGCCUACAGGUCGCGGUAACCCUUAAUCUCUCCCUUGACUGGGACAGACUAUUGCAAUUAUUGGUCUCCAACGAGGAAUUUUUAGUAGUCGCAGGUCAUUAACCUGCGACGA